UGAAUCCAAACAAUAGAUAUGCC
rnacentral:siRNA from 1 species